rnacentral:rRNA from 1 species
AUGGAGGCGUGGGAGAUCGCCCAUACACGAAAGAAGCCCAAGCCUGGCGAGGCCAAGUACUACGGCAAGACCGCAGAGUAUAAGAAGGCCUACUCUGAGGGGUAUCUGAGUUUACAUCCUGACACACCUGACCCCAUUGCGGCGGAUCUGGACGAGAGGGUGGUGGUGAGCAUGGGGAAGAAGCACGGUCGGUCGCCGUUUCUGGAUGCUGUGAUCACUCCUUCUAUCUCCUACACACAGCUCCGAGCUACCAACCCGAGCCUGUGCCAGCGCACGAGCACGUCCAUGACAAGUGCGCAGUCACAGUCCCUCAUUGCUGAGCGGAACUCUGCCUACUUGGAGUACACACGUCAGGAGACCAUGAGGUGGCACGAGAGCCUUCAUGCAUACCAUCAGCAGAGGGAUCGCACGUUGCAACACUUCCUUUAG